AUGGGCAACGAGGCCAGCCUAGAGGGCGGCGCUGGCGAUGGGCCGCUGCCGCCGGGAGGCCCUGGCCCGGGCCCGGGUGGGGGCCCCGGCACAGCGAAGCCGCCUUCAGCACCGGCCGGCGGCGGACAGCUCCCCGCGGCUGGCGCUGCGCGGGCGACAGCCGGACCACCUGGUCCUGGCCCCGGCCCGGGCCCCGGCCCCGGCCCCGGCCCCGGCCCAGGCAGCCUUUCCAGGAGACUGGACCCCCAGGAGCCCUUGGGGAGCCAGAGAGCAGCUUCCCCAACCCCGAAGCAGGCUCCUGCUACUGCUCCUGGCCACGAGAGCCCCCGGGAGACGAGGGCACAGGGCCCAGCAGGACAGGACGCUGCUGGCCCCCGCAGGACGCUGCUGGUAGACAGCAGGACGCAGAGAUCAGGGCGGUCCCCCUCUGUGUCACCGGACAGAGGCAGCACUCCCACAUCACCCUACUCCGUCCCCCAGAUCGCCCCUCUUCCCAGCAGCACGCUGUGUCCCAUAUGUAAGACCUCGGACCUCACGUCGGCCCCCAGCCAGCCAAACUUCAACACCUGCACCCAGUGUCACAACAAGGUCUGCAACCAGUGUGGGUUCAACCCCAACCCUCACCUCACCCAGGUAAAAGAGUGGCUCUGUCUGAACUGCCAGAUGCAGAGGGCUCUGGGGAUGGACAUGACCACGGCGCCUCGCUCCAAAAGCCAGCAGCAGCUGCACUCCCCUGCCCUGUCUCCUGUCCACUCCCCGGCCAAACAGCCCCUGGGGAAGCCGGAGCCAGAGAGAUCCCGGGGCCCACAGCCCGGUGCCCGCCAGGCUGAGGCAGCCAGGGCCACCCCAGUGCCGGCGUCUGCCCCAGCAGCUGCCUCUCCAGAGGUGGGGAGAGUGUCUCCUCAGCCCCCUCCCCCCAUCAAGCCUUCCACAGCUGAGCCCAGGCCACCGGCAGGAGAGACCCUGGCCAAAAGUGCCCCCACAGUGCCCUCUGGGCCUGGUGCUGCAGAGCAGAGCCAGGAGGGCCUCACCGGGAAGCUCUUUGGCCUCGGUGCCUCGCUGCUGACACAGGCAAGUACACUCAUGUCUGUGCAGCCUGAGGCCGAACCCCAGGGCCAGCCUGCCCCCAGCAAGGGGCCGCCCAAGAUCGUCUUCAGUGAUGCCAGCAAAGAGGCUGGCCCAAGACCCCUAGGCUCAGGGCCCGGGCCUGGGCCAGCACCUGGAGCCAAAACUGAGCCUGCAGCUAGAACAGGUCCUGGAUCCGGGCCUGGAGCCCUGGCGAGAACUGGGGGAACAACCAGUCCAAAGCAUGGCAGAGCAGAGCACCAGGCAGUGUCCAAGGCUACUGCCAAGCCAAAGACCAUGCCGAAGGAAAGGGCCACCUGCCCAUUGUGCCAAGCCGAGCUCAACGUGGGCAGCAAGGGCCCUGCCAACUAUAACACCUGCACCACCUGCAAGCUCCAGGUGUGCAACCUAUGUGGCUUCAACCCGACGCCCCACCUGGUGGAGAAAACUGAGUGGCUCUGUCUGAACUGCCAAACUAAGCGGCUACUGGAGGGCAGCCUGGGAGAGCCGACCCCACUACCACUGCCCACCUCACAGCAGCCCCCCGUAGGGGCCCCUCAUCGUGUGGCUGGAGCAGCCCCUCUGAAGCAGAAAGGGCCACAGGGGCUGGGCCAGCCAUCAGGCCCCCUGCCUGCCAAGGCCAGUCCCCUGCCCACCAAGGCCAGCCCUCAGGCCAAGCCCCUCAGGGCUUCUGAACCCAGCAGGACCCCGAGCAGUGCCCAGGAAAAGAAAACAGGAGUCCCAGCUAAAGCUGAGCCCAUGCCGAAACCACCUCCAGAGACUACACUGCCCCCCGGGACCCCUAAAGCAAAGACUGGAGUGCGGAAGACUGAACCUGCCAGGCCUGUCGUCAAGGCCAUUCCAGAAGCCCCCAAGGGUGGGGAGGCAGAGGAGCUGGUGGGCAAGCCUUACUCUCAGGACCUGUCUCGCAGCCCGCAGAGCCUCAGUGACACAGGCUAUUCCUCCGAUGGCGUCUCCAGCUCCCAGAGCGAGAUCACAGGGGUCGUGCAGCAGGAGGUAGAGCAGCUGGACAGUGCAGGGGUGACAGGGCCACGCCCACCCAGCCCCUCCCAGCUCCACAAGGUAGGGAGCAGCAUGCGGCCUUCGCUGCAGGCCCAGGGCCUGGCCCCCAGUGGCGAGCAGAGCAGGCCGCCCUGCAGCAGCAGUGCUGAGGAGCAGAAGCGGCGGCCACACUCCUUGUCCAUCAUGCCUGAGGCCUUCGACUCUGAUGAGGAGCUGGAGGACAUCCUGGAGGAAGAGGAAGACUCUCUAGAGUGGGGGCGCCAGAGGGAGCAGCAGGACACGGCCGAGUCCUCAGAUGACUUUGGCAGCCAGCUGAGGCAUGACUACGUGGAGGACAGCAGUGAGGGUGGCCUGUCCCCUCUCCCCCCGCAGCCCCCAGCCCGAGCAGCAGAAAUGACUGAUGAGGAGUUCAUGCGACGGCAGAUACUAGAGAUGAGUGCCGAAGAAGACAACCUGGAAGAGGAUGACGCGGCCACCUCCAGGCACAGCUUGGCCAGACAUGGCACCCAGAAGGGUGGCCCCAGGCCCAGGCCCGAGCCCAGCCAAGAGCCAGCGGCACUGCCCAAGAGGCGCCUGCCCCACAAUGCCACCACGGGCUAUGAGGAGCUGCUCUCUGAGGGAGGCCCAGCAGAGGCCACGGAUGGCACCGGAGCCCUGCAGGGUGGGCUCCGCCGCUUCAAGACCAUUGAACUCAAUAGCACGGGCAGCUAUGGCCACGAGCUGGACCUGAGCCAAGGCCCUGACCCUGGCCUGGACCGGGAGCCUGAGCUGGAGAUGGAGAGCCUGACAGGUUCCCCUGAGGACCGCUCCCGCGGAGAGCACUCCUCCACGCUGCCAGCCUCCACGCCCAGCUACACGUCAGGUACCUCUCCCACCUCCCUGUCCUCACUGGAAGAGGACAGCGACAGCAGCCCCAGCCGCCGGCAACGUCUGGAAGAAGCCAAGCAGCAGCGCAAGGCCCGGCACCGCUCCCACGGGCCCCUGCUGCCCACCAUCGAGGACUCCUCCGAGGAGGAGGAGCUGCGGGAGGAAGAGGAGCUGCUACGUGAGCAGGAGAAAAUGCGGGAGGUGGAGCAGCAGCGCAUCCGCAGCACAGCCCGUAAGACCCGAAGGGACAAGGAGGAGCUGCGGGCCCAGCGGCGGCGAGAGCGCUCCAAGACCCCACCCAGCAACCUGUCGCCCAUCGAGGACGCCUCCCCCACAGAGGAGCUGCGGCAGGCAGCCGAGAUGGAGGAGCUCCACCGCUCCUCCUGCUCCGAGUACUCGCCCUCGCCCUCCCUGGACUCGGAGGCUGAGGCCCUGGACGGGGGGCCCAGCCGGCUCUAUAAGUCGGGCAGUGAGUACAGCCUGCCCACCUUCAUGUCCCUCUACUCACCCACGGAGACACCCUUGGGCAGCUCCACCACUCCCAGCUCGGGCCGGCCCCUCAAGAGUGCUGAGGAGGCCUAUGAGGAGAUGAUGCGAAAGGCUGAGCUGCUCCAGCGGCAACAGGGCCAGGCAGCGGGGGGCCGGGGGCCCCAUGGUGGCCCCUCGCAGCCCAUAGGCCCCCGGGGCCAGGGUUCCUUUGAAUACCAGGACCCCUCAGAGCACGACUAUGGCAGGGCUGCUCAGCCUGCAUCACAGGGCACGCCAGCUGCCCUGGAAGCAGCUGUGUAUGAGGAGAUCCUCCAGACGUCACAGAGCAUUGCCCGCAUGCGUCAGGCCUCCUCACGGGACCUGGCCUUUGCUGAGGACAAGAAGAAGGAGAAGCAGUUUCUGAACGCCGAGAGUGCGUACAUGGACCCAAUGAAACAAAAUGGUGGCCCACUUACCCCUGGCACCAGCCCCACGCAGCUUGCCGCCCCUGUGUCCUUCUCCCCCUCUCCCUCUACCUCCUCAGACAGCAGUGGGGGCCGAGUCAUUCCUGAUGUCCGUGUUACUCAGCAUUUUGCAAAGGAGUCUCAAGACCCCCUCAAGCUUCACAGCUCUCCUGCCUCCCCCAGCUCCGCCUCCAAGGAGGUCAGCAUACCCUUUUCCCAGGGCCCUGGGACCCCAGCCACCACAGCUGUGGCUCCUUGUCCGUCUGGCCUGCCAAGAGGGUAUAUGACUCCGACGUCCCCAGCUGGCUCUGAGCGCAGCCCUUCACCAUCUUCCACAGCCCACAGCUACGGACAGAGCCCAACCACUGCAAACUAUGGGUCCCAGACUGAGGAGCAGCCUCAGGUCCCCAGUGGCCCUGCUGCCCGCGGACGGGCUGCCAGAGAAGAGCCCCUGAGUGUGAGUGAUGGCAAGAGCAGCACUCCCCAGCCCUCCCAGGGAUAUUCCUACUUUGCCGGCUCCAGCCCACCUCUCUCCCCGUCUUCUCCCUCAGAGAGUCCCACAUUCUCCCCUGGCAAGCUGGGCCCAAGGGCCACAGCAGAGUUCUCUACACAGACGCCAAGCCCAACCCCUGCCUCGGACAGGCCACGGAGCCCUGGUGCCCCAACCUCGACCUCCAUGGUGGCUCAGGGCACACAAACACCACACCGACCCAGCACGCCUCGCCUGGUAUGGCAGCAGCCCUCUCAGGAGGCCCCUGUUAUGGUCAUCACACUGGCAUCAGAUGCCUCCAGCCAGACCAGGAUGGUACAUGCCAGUGCCUCCACCUCCCCAGUGUGCUCACCCACUGACACCCAGCCCACCACCCACAGCUACAGCCAGACAACGCCUCCAAGUGGGUCUCAGCUGCCCUCAGAGCCUCCUGGGCCAGCUGGCUUCCCGCGGGCACCCAGUGCUGGUGCAGAUGGGCCUCUGGCACUGUAUGGCUGGGGCGCCCUCCCUGCCGAGAACAUCUCCCUUUGCCGGAUCUCCUCCGUCCCUGGAACGUCUAGGGUCGAGCCAGGCCCCAGGCCCCCUGGCAGUGCCGUGGUAGACCUUCGCACGGCUGUCAAACCCACACCCAUCAUCCUCACCGACCAGGGCAUAGACCUGACCUCUCUUGCUGUGGAAGCAAGGAAGUACGGCCUUGCCCUGGAUCCAGCCCCAGGACGGCAGUCGACCGCUGUACAGCCUUUGGUUAUCAACCUCAACGCCCAGGAGCAGACCCAUGCCUUCCUCAGCACCGCCACCACCGUGAGCAUCACCAUGGCCUCAUCUGUGCUCAUGGCGCAGCCAAAGCAGCCUGUGGUCUAUGGAGACCCAUUCCAGAGCCGGCUUGACUUUGGCCAGGGUGCGGGUAGCCCCGUGUGCCUGGCCCAGGUCAAGCAGGUAGAGCAGUCUGUUCAGACAGCCCCGUACCGAGGCGGGCCCCGGGGAAGACCCAGGGAGCCCAAGUUUGCCAGGUAUAACCUGCCCAAUCAAGUAGCACCUCUGGCCAGAAGGGAUGUUUUGAUCACUCAGAUGGGCAGUGUCCAGAGUGUUGGCCUCAAGUCAGGCCUGGUACCAGAGCCCGGUGCCGAACCUCACCGGGCUGCCCCAGCAGAGUUACGGUCUCAUGCUCUGCCGGGUGCCAGGAAGCCACACACGGUGCUGGUACAGAUGGGAGAGGGCACGGCAGGCACUGUGACCACACUGCUCCCAGAGGAGCCCGCGGGUGCCCUGGACCUCACCGGGAUGAGGCCUGAGAGCCAACUGGCAUGCUGUGACAUGGUCUACAAGUUCCCCUUUGGCAGUAGCUGCACAGGCACCUUCCAUCCCGCCCCCAGCGCACCUGAGAAGAGUGUGGUAGAUGUUGCCCCACCCGGCCAAACCAAUGGCCCCUUCUACAAUCCCCAGGACCCUGAGCCUCCCGAGCCUCCCACCUACCGGGCACAGGGGGUAGUGCCUGAGGAGCAGAGGCCCUGCCCACAGGGCCUCCCAGGCAGGCUAUACUCCUCCAUGUCUGACACCAAUUUGGCUGAGGCUGGCCUCAACUACCAUGCCCACAGAUUGGGGCAGCUCUUCCAGGGCCCUGGACGAGACUCGGCUGUGGACCUGAGCUCGCUGAAGCAAUCCUACAACCUGGGCUUUGCGGACGGACGCUACGUUGGGCAGGGCUUGCAGUAUGGCUCAUUCACAGACCUGCGUCAUCCCACAGACCUUUUGACUCACCCACUUCCCAUGCGGCGCUACAGCUCAGUAUCAAACAUCUACUCUGACCACAGGUAUGGCCCACGGGGAGAUGCAGCUGGCUUCCAGGAGGCCAGCCUGGCCCAGUACAGUGCCACCACAGCCCGUGAGAUCAGCCGCAUGUGCGCGGCCCUCAAUUCCAUGGACCAGUAUGGAGGGCGGCAUGGCAGUGGUGGUGGUGGUGGCCCCGACCUCAUGCAGUAUCAGCCCCAGCCUGGGCCUGGGCUCAGUGCCCCGCAGGGUCUGGCUCCCCUCAGACCUGGCCUUCUUGGGAACCCCACCUUCCCGGAGGGCCACCCAAGUCCUGGGACCCUGGCCCAGUACCGGCCUACGGCAGCCCAGGGAGCAGCAGUCAGACAGCUGCUGCCAUCCACAGCCACCGUGCGUGCAGCCGAUGGCAUGAUCUACUCGACUAUCAACACCCCAAUUGCUGCAACACUGCCCAUCACCACCCAGCCCGGCUCAGUACUGCGGCCUAUGGUGCGCGGUGGCCUGUACAGGCCUUACGGAUCUGGUGGGAUCACAGCCGUGCCGCUCACCAGCCUGACACGCAUGCCCAUGAUUGCCCCCCGGGUACCUCUCGGGCCCACAGGGCUAUACCGAUAUCCUGUACCAAGUAGAUUCCCCACUGCUUCCAGCAUUCCACCUGCUGAGGGUCCUGUCUACCUGGGGAAACCUGCUGCUGCCAAGGUGCCAGGGGUUGGGGGCCCACCAAGGCCAGAGCUGCCAGCAGGGGCGGCUCGGGAAGAGCAUCUGUCCACAGCCACCCCUGCUGCUGCCAAGGAGGCUGGAGCAGCCCCAGCCCCCCUGGUUGGCCAGAAGCCACCAGUAGAUGCUGCUCCUGGGGGCGGCAGUGGGGCCCUCAGCCGGCCAGGGCUUGACAAGGAGGAAGCAUCGCAGGAGGAGAGGCAGCGGAAGCAGCAGGAGCAGCUGCUGCAGCUGGAGCGGGAGCGGGUAGAGCUGGAGAAGCUGCGGCAGCUGCGGCUACAGGAGGAGCUAGAGAGGGAGCGCGUGGAGCUGCAGAGGCACCGGGAGGAAGAGCAGCUUCUGGUGCAGCGGGAGCUGCAAGAGCUGCAGACCAUCAAGCACCACGUGCUGCAGCAGCAGCAGGAGGAACGCCAGGCCCAGUUUGCACUGCAGCGGGAGCAGCUGGCACAGCAGCGUCUGCAGCUGGAGCAGAUCCAGCAGCUUCAGCAGCAGCUACAGCAUCAACUGGAGGAGCAGAAGCAGCGGCAGAAAGCCCCCUUCCCUGUGGCCUGUGAGGGACCUGGCCGAGGGCCUCCCCCAGCAGCCACUGAACUGGCUCAGAAUGGCCAGUACUGGCCGCCCCUGACCCAUGCGGCCUUCAUUGCCAUGGCAGGGCCUGAGGGGCCCGGGCAGCCUCGGGAGCCCGUGCUGCACCGCGGUCUCCCCAGCUCUGCCUCGGACAUGUCGCUGCAGACUGAGGAGCAGUGGGAGGGAAGCCGCGGUGGCCUCAAGAAGCGGCACUCGAUGCCACGCCUGCGGGACGCCUGCGAGCCAGAGUCGGGGCCAGAGCCCUGCAUGGUCAAGAGGAUUGCGGACACCAGCGUGCAGACGGACGAUGAGGAUGGGGAGGGCCGCUACUUCCUGUCCCGGCGGCGCCGGACACGGCGGAGCGCUGACUGCAGUGUACAGACAGACGACGAAGACAGCGCUGAGUGGGAGCAGCCAGUGCGCCGCCGCCGGUCCCGUCUUUCCCGCCACUCAGACUCCGGCUCGGACAGCAAGCAUGAAGCGAUCGCCUCGUCGUCCACUGCCACCGCCGCUGCGAGGGCCAUGAGCAGCGUGGCCAUCCAGACUAUCAGUGACUGCUCUGUGCAGACGGAGCCCGACCAGCUGCCCAGGGUCUCUCCAGCCAUCCACAUCACAGCUGCUACGGAUCCCAAGGUGGAGAUCGUCAGGUACAUCUCGGCACCAGAGAAGACUGGGCACGGGGAGAGCCUGGCCUGCCAGACGGAGCCGGAUGGGCAGGCCCAGGGGGUGGCUGGGCCGCAGCUUGUAGGGCCAGCCGCCAUCAGCCCCUACCUGCCUGGCAUCCAGAUCGUCACUCCAGGGCCCCUGGGCAGAUUCGAAAAAAAGAAGCCGGAUCCCCUGGAAAUUGGAUACCAGGCCCACCUGCCCCCGGAGUCCCUCUCACAGCUUGUGAGCCGCCAGCCUCCCAAGUCCCCCCAGGUCCUCUACUCACCAGUCUCACCCCUGUCCCCACACCGGCUCCUGGAUGCCUCCUUUGCUUCCAGUGAGAGGCUGAACAAGGCUCACGUGAGUCCCCAGAAGCACUUCGCGGCUGACAGCGCUCUCCGCCAGCAGACGCUGCCUCGCCCCAUGAAGACCCUGCAGCGGUCCUUGUCUGACCCUAAGCCCCUCAGCCCCACCGCCGAGGAGUCUGCCAAAGAGAGGUUCUCCCUCUACCAGCACCAGGGGGGACUGGGUAGCCAGGUGUCGGCGCUGCCACCCAACGGCCUGGUCCGCAAGGUGAAGCGGACACUGCCCAGCCCCCCUCCAGAGGAGGCUCAUCUGCCCCUGGCUGGCCAGCCCCCCCCACAGCUGUAUGCAGCCAGCCUGCUGCAGCGUGGGCUGGCGGGGCCCACCGCUGUCCCUGCCACCAAGGCCAGUCUGCUCCGGGAGCUGGACCGGGACCUGCGGCUGGUGGAGCACGAAUCCACCAAGCUGCGCAAGAAGCAGGCAGAGCUGGAUGAAGAGGAGAAGGAGAUCGACGCCAAGCUCAAGUACCUGGAGCUGGGUAUCACACAGCGCAAAGAGUCUUUGGCCAAAGACCGGGGUGGCCGUGACUACCCACCCUUGCGUGGUCUCGGCGAACAUCGUGACUACCUAUCGGACAGUGAACUCAACCAGCUGCGGCUCCAGGGCUGUGCCACUCCUGCAGGCCCAUAUGCAGACUUCCCUGUCACGGCCGCUCCCACCACCAACUCCGGCCCCACUGCCUUCCAGCAGCCCCGGUUCCCACCUCCGGCCCCACAGUACACUGCAGGCAGCGGUGGGCCAACUCCAAAUGGAUUCCUAACCCACCAAGCACCCACCUACCCUGGCCCCAGCACGUACCCAGCACCUGCCUUUCCUCCUGGCACCAGUUAUCCAGCGGAGCCUGGCUUGGCAAGCCAGCAGGCUUUCCGUCCCACAGGCCAUUAUGCAGCCCAAACACCCAUGCCAACCACACAGAGCACCCUUUUCCCAGUCCCGGCCGAUAGCCGCGCCCCCCACCAGAAGCCACGCCAGACAUCACUAGCUGACUUGGAGCAGAAGGUGCCCACCAACUAUGAGGUGAUCGCCAGCCCUGUGGUGGCCAUGUCUUCAGCCCCAUCUGAAACGAGCUACAGUGGCCCAGCGGUAAGCAGCAGCUAUGAGCAAGGCAAGGCCCCUGAGCUGCCUCGGGCCAGUGACCGCGGCAGCAUGAGUCUGAGCCCGGCCCCCACCUAUCCCUCUGACUCACACUACACCAGCCUGGAGCAGAAUGUCCCUCGGAAUUAUGUGAUGAUCGAUGACAUCAGUGAGCUGACAAAGGACAGCACCUCCACUGCCCCUGAUAGCCAGCGACUGGAGCCCCUGGGGCCAAGCGGCAGUGGGCGUCCUGGGAAAGAGCCCGGAGAAGCAGGUGUCCUGGAGGGGCCUGCACUGCCCUGCUGCUACACCCGAGGGGAGGAAGAAUCCGAGGAGGACUCUUAUGACCCCCGUGGGAAGAGCAGCCAUCACCGGAGCGUGGAGAGUGACAGCCGACCAGCCAGCGCCCACUACUACAGUGACAGCGACUACCGCCACGGGGCUCGAGCUGAGAAGUACGGUCCCGGCCCCAUGGGCCCCAAGCAUCCUUCCAAGAGCCUAGCCCCAGCUGCCAUCUCCUCAAAGCGCAGCAAGCACCGGAAGCAGGGCAUGGAGCAAAAGAUCUCCAAGUUCUCGCCUAUUGAAGAAGCCAAGGAUGUGGAAUCGGACCUGGCCUCCUACCCCUCCCCUGCGGUCAGCAGCGGCCUGGCCUCUCGGGGCAGGAAGUUCCAGGACGAAAUCACCUACGGGCUCAAGAAGAACGUGUAUGAGCAACAGAGAUACUACGGGGUGUCCAGCCGGGACCAGGUGGAGGAGGACGACCGCAUGUACAGUGGAAGCAGCCGGUCCCGGGUGGCAUCUGCAUACAGUGGGGAGAAGCUGUCCAGCCAUGACUUCGGUGGCCGGGGCAAGGGGUAUGAGCGGGAACGGGAGACUGUGGAGCGGCUUCAAAAAGUGGGCCCCAAGCCCUCAUCCCUGAGCAUGGCCCAUGGUCGGGCCCGACCCCCCAUGCGGAGCCAGGCCUCUGAAGAAGAGAGCCCUGUCAGCCCCUUGGGACGGCCCCGCCCCGCCGGGGGCACCCUCCCUCCGGGGGACACCUGCCCACAGUUCUGCUCCAGCCACUCCAUGCCUGACGUCCAGGAGCACGUCAAGGAUGGACCGCGGGCCCACACAUACAAGCGUGAGGAGGGCUACAUCCUGGACGACUCCCACUGCGUAGUUUCCGACAGCGAAGCAUAUCACCUGGGCCAGGAGGAGACAGACUGGUUUGAUAAGCCCCGGGAUGCCCGCUCUGACCGAUUCAGGCACCAUGGGGGCCACGCAGUCUCCUCCUCCUCCCAGAAGCGAGGCCCUGCCAGGCACAGCUACCACGACUACAAUGAGCCCCCCGAAGAAGGCCUGUGGCCACAUGAUGAGGGUGGCCCAGGCCGACACACCUCAGCCAAGGAACACCGGCACCACAGCGACCACGGGCGGCACUCAGGCCGCCAUGCUGGCGAGGAGCCGGGCCGGCGUGCUGCCAAACCACAUGUUCGGGACCUGGGUCGCCAUGAGGCCCGGCCUCACCCUCAGCCCAGCCCGGCCCCGGCCAUGCAGAAGAAGGGUCAGCCUGGGUACCCCAGCCCCGCUGAAUACUCACAGCCAUCCCGUGUCCCAUCAGCAUACCAUCAUGCCUCUGACAGCAAGAAGGGCUCCCGGCAGGCCCAUUCGGGGUCCGCUGCACUGCAGCCAAAGCCAGAACCCCAGCCGCAGCCACAGCCACAGGGCCGGCAGGCACCACCAGGGCCGCAGCAGUCACAGCCGCCACCAUCCAGGCAGACACCCUCAGCACCAUCAUCGCGCCAGCCGCAGACACAGCAGCAGCAGCAGCAGCAGCAGCAGCAGCAGCCAGGUCACGGGCUACAGCACCCCCAGCAGACGCCGUCGCAGGCUCGGCUGCAGCAGCAGGGCCAGCCAACUGCACGGGGCCCGGCCCCUGCUGCCAGCCAGCCAGCAGGGAAGCCUCAGCCAGGCCCCGCAACAGCCACAGGCCCCCAGCCAGCUGGACCGCCACGGGCAGAGCAGACAAACGGCUCUAAGGGGGCAGCCAAAGCACCCCAGCAGGGGAGGCCUCCUCAGGCCCAGCCACCAGCAGGACCUGGACCGGCAGGUGUGAAGGCUGGAGCUAGGCCCGGAGGGACCCCAGGGGCUCCUGCUGGCCAGCCAGGUGCCGAGGGGGAGAGUGUUCUCUCCAAGAUCCUCCCUGGGGGGGCAGCAGAGCAGGCCGGCAAGCUGACGGAAGCCGUCUCUGCUUUUGGCAAAAAAUUCUCCUCAUUCUGGUGACCAUGCCCUGUAGGGCUCCUAAAGAGAUGAAAGGAGACGAUAUCGUUGCUGUGGAAAAAUCUCUGGAGUCAGAGGCCUGGGCACAGCUCUGGACUCUGCGUAUAACACAUCUACAAUCUGGCGAACCCCUGGCCCACAGACUCACCAAGUGGGACGUGGCAGGCGGCCUCAGUUGAGGCGGGAUGUUUUCUCACAGUAGCUGCCUGGGUGAAGCAUCUGCUGGACAAGUGGGACCACUGGCCCAGGGGACCUUUGAUUGUCUUUCCAGAGACCCUGCUCUCCUCAGGGCGCCACCUUCAAGGCUUUGCCGUGGUUGGGAGGGAGGAGCCCUCUCUGGAAACCCUGCCACCGUGCAGUCUUGCUGCUCUUCCCACAGCCGCCUUCUGCAGCCUGGCCAGCCAGGCUGCCUAUGCGUUAUACACAGAGUUGGGGUGCACGCUGCCUGUUUUUGACGGAUGCUGCCCUCCCUCCGCAAUGCCAGAAGUUUUUCCACAGCCUUGGAGAGAGGCUUUGAUUGGAGGCUGAUGGCUCCGGGCUCCGUUUCCUUCACAUUCCAGCUGGCCCGGAUCCCUCUGGGGCCACAGGGCCCUGCCUCCCUCACCCUGCCCUCUGGGCGACAUCGGAGCAGACUUCCAUGUGGCUAGUGUGGGGUUGGGAGAACUUUACAAACAUUAGGACCUAACACUGUCUCAUUGCUGAAAUAAGAGGCCAUAGCACCGAAAAGCAGCGUGGGCGCUGGCUGAGGCUUCUCCCAGCCCAUGGGUGGCAGCGUGCUAGCAUGCCUGCCACCAUCUCAAAGCCAUCCCCCAGCCAUCGUGAGCAUCCCAGCGGCACCGCCAUUGUCUCAACCAGCCGGCUCCUCGUUCGUAUACCUGGGGAUUUCUUUUGAUUUUAAGAACAGCCUUAAUCAUUUCAGUUUGGUUUACGUGUAUACCUCAUAAACACUUUUGUUUCUCCUUCUCUCCUCUCUUCUCUGUUUGCUCACCUUCUUGCCUUUCCCCUCCACCACCCCCUUGUGACUGAUGGUUUGGUUUCCUCUCUGCUCUGUCCCUGCUCCGCACAGAGAGAAUGUUGACUCAGAAGCAAUAGUGGGCAGUAGGCCACCAAGAGCACAACCCCAGGGCGAGGUCUAGGGAGGCCCCUCAGCCCACCUCUGUUUACUGUGCAAUUCCAGUCCUUCUUAAGCCAUCACCAGUGGGCGCGCUCAGAGCAGAGGGGCCAGGGCUUCUGCCAGCCAAGGGAAGGGCCCAGAGCCCUGUGUUGGGGAGUGUGACACCAUCCAUCCACCUGGUGGACUGGGUGGCAUUCCUCCCCAAGGCCCUUCCCUUUGGGACUUCCUUUUAUCUCGGGCUCAGCCACAAGUCUCAUCUCUAACGUUCUAUGCAAUGAAAUAUAAACCCUCAAAGACAACUGUUAAUAUUUAAUAAAUUCCAUGUUAUGUAUAAGAGUUAAUUGCAGACAUGCAAUUGAGAAACUGGAUAGAUAUGCUCAUAUCAAACCCCCUACCGCUGCCCACCGCGCUCCCACCGUGUGUGUGAAGUUCUUAGUCUGUGGCAUGUUUGACCUGUGGCAGGACUCACUGCUGCCAGGUGAGUCACCACCUGGCUUGCAGUGGAGAGCAUGCACAGCUCGCAGCCUCUUUGCACGAUUUCAUCCAUUUUAAAUGCUCUACCCUCUUGCUUGGAGUUCUUUUUGCCUCAGAACCUCUCCUUCAGGAGUGCUUCUAGCUGAAUCCUGCACGAGCUAGUGAGGACCUGCCAGAAUUGUUGCCAGAGCAUGCCAGGCUGCGGGCCAGACAGUGCGAGGCCCGACGUGCCCUGCAGUUUUCUCUGACCAAGUCGGCAGGUGACAGGGAGUCUCUGGAGUAGACACUCGGGUGGAGCCUGGACAGGGUGUGUAUGCAUGCACAUUUGGAAGAUUUGCUGUCACAUUCUGAAGGUUUCCAUCUGUAAGUCGCUCCCCGUCCUCCCCCAGCCCUGAGCCAGAGGCAUCUGGCCACCCCCUUCCCAGUGGCGCCCUGCUCAAGGGCAGAGCUGGGCUGCGUCCGUGGCCAGAGGCAGACGAAAGGCAGGGCCUUGCUGUGUCCUAGGGACCCCAGUUCCUGACUCCACCUGUUCCAUGCCUCUCCUCUGUGGCUGGGAAGAAGCUCAAAGGUCUGUGAGCCAAGAGAUGGGUUCUGGGGGUCAAAGGGUGCUCAGGAAGAGCUAGACGUCUGGCACUUGUGGUGAGGACAGUUGACAAUGUCAUCUUGGACCAACGCAGGUGUUCACAUAGACAGUGGCUUCAAGCUGAGUUUCUUGGGAAGCUUCUCAAUAGCAAAACUUAGAGAAAGUCCUUUGUGACCGUCUCUGCCUCUGGAUAAGGAGUCUCUGUAAUGCAGUCCAGGCCUUCUCCAUACCUGCCUCCCCAGUGUCAUAAGCAAGGGCAUUGCAUGCCCACCCUCGUCUCUGAAGCCCAAGUAUCCCGCUGCUCAUCAGCUUCUCUACGACGGAGCCAGGAGUGCGGCAGGCAGUGGCUACCAACCCCUCGGCCUGGCUUUCCUCCAGACUGCUCUGGUUUGCAUUUCUCAGGGUCCACAUUUCUCAUGCUUUCCUAUAAGGUCUACAUGGCCCUUCAGAGAGGGAUCCUGGCACACCUCUGGCAGCUGUGGAUGGGACAGGAGGCUGUCAACCUUUGUGUUCGGCCUGAGACCCUGGUCCUCCAGGAUUUGGGCCUCGCCCAUCCCAUAGAACACCUGCCUCAUCUAAGAUCAGACUUGGGCCAUGUGAGGCUGUCUGAGCAAGGGCUGAGGGAGGCCACCAUCCAUCACAUCUGACCACCCAGAGCCAGGUUUAUGUAGGGAUGUGCCUAGUGGCUGGAUCUAUGGGGGCCCAAGGCAGUAAUCCUUCCAACGAAAAGCCGGGGGAUAGGACCAGGAGCAGGGAAAACGGAGACGGGGAGAUAACAGCAGGUCAGCCUCCGUCAGACCUAUUCUAAAAUACUGACUUUUAGCAAAUUUCCUUUCUGGCCAAGCCCUCUGAGUUUGACAUUUCUGACAUCUGCCAUCCUCCACGCCCCCCAGUGUACCCACAGGAUACAUCUGUACCCAUCACCCCUGGUGAAGGUGGCUAGAGCAGGCCUCUGGGCCAUAGGUGUCCUAGCCCUGUGUGGAUGCAGCUGUGGCUCUGGGGGCACUGCAGCCAGAGGCUAAGGGACCAGCAUUUGGUACCUUGGGAAAAGGAACAUAAGACAUAUCUCCAAAUGGAUAAUGGAUCUCUGUAAUGCAGUCCAGGCCUUCUUCAUACCUGCCUCCCCAGUGUCGUAAGCAAGGGCAUUGCCUCCUCUGCCCACUUCAGGGCCCGCCCAAUACACUCAUUUCACAGAGACACCAUCCCUUCCUCACCAUCUGCUUAGUCCUUGGGAAGAAAGUGUGGUCUCAGGGACCAUGAUGAGAGGGCAGCAAUGGCAGCAACUAUGGCCUGUCUUCUGGAGCCUGUGUGUGUGUGUGGGGGGGAAGGUUCAAAGCCUUUGCCAUGGCAGCAUGGCCCUGGCCGGCUGGCGCCUGCCUGCCCUUGUGUCCCCUCCCCCAUUUUGUAAAUACUAAUCAUCAUGGAUUCCGACAGGGUCAGAGUAACAGGCCUGAUCAACUGAAACUCCUCAGAGAUGUCAUCUCUGUCUCCCCGGGGACCAGCAGUCCUGCUGCCAUGUGCACUGGGGUGGCAUGGAGAGCCGUGGAAGUUGUGAGAUAGUGUGUGUGUAUGCACGUGAUCAAGCGUGUGAGCGGAUAUGUGUGCGCGUCUGCCUCAUUCAGCCUCUGGAAUCAAAUCAGCUCCUCUCUCCAAGUGCAGUGCCCUGGAGAGUGGGGGCUGCCCAGCGCCUUUCUCUGCCAGCUUCCAUGUCUUGUUUUUGCUUUCCCCUCACUCCUUCCCUUUCUUUCCUCUUUCCCUUUCUUUCCUUCUCUCCUUCUUUAUUUGAGGGGGGAAGAGUGCUGUACAAAGUCAAACAAAUAAGUUUACAGUUGUAAGUGCAAUGACCCGAGUCCUCCACAUGACCUUGUGAAAUGUGUGCCGUCCUCUUGUGCUCUGUGAGAACUCAUGGUACUUCAGUGUCCCUCCCCCUGUAUUGUGACAAGGUAAUUCUGUGGUAUCAGAAUAAAAGGACUUGAUUUAACAACCUA